UCCUCCCUCUUUCUUCGUGCCUAAUACAUGCAAGUCGAACGCUUCUUUCCUCCCGAGUGCUUGCACUCAAUUGGAAAGAGGAGUGGCGGACGGGUGAGUAACACGUGUGUAACCUACCCAUCAGAGGGGGAUAACACUUGGAAACAGGUGCUAAUACCGCAUAACAGUUUAUGCCGCAUGGCAUAAGAGUGAAAGGCGCUUUCGGGUGUCGCUGAUGGAUGGACCCGCGGUGCAUUAGCUAGUUGGUGAGGUAACGGCUCACCAAGGCCACGAUGCAUAGCCGACCUGAGAGGGUGAUCGGCCACACUGGGACUGAGACACGGCCCAGACUCCUACGGGAGGCAGCAGUAGGGAAUCUUCGGCAAUGGACGAAAGUCUGACCGAGCAACGCCGCGUGAGUGAAGAAGGUUUUCGGAUCGUAAAACUCUGUUGUUAGAGAAGAACAAGGACGUUAGUAACUGAACGUCCCCUGACGGUAUCUAACCAGAAAGCCACGGCUAACUACGUG
rnacentral:rRNA from 1 species